GGUUAAGCGACUAAGCGUACACGGUGGAUGCCCGGCAGUCAGAGGCGAUGAAGGACGUGCUAAUCUGCGAUAAGCGUCGGUGAGGUGAUAUGAACCGUUAUAACCGGCGAUUUCCGAAUGGGGAAACCCAGUGUGAUUCGUCACACUAUCAUUAACUGAAUCCAUAGGUUAAUGAGGCGAACCGGGGAACUGAAACAUCUAAGUACCCCGAGGAAAAGAAAUCAACCGAGAUUCCCCCAGUAGCGGCGAGCGAACGGGGAGGAGCCCAGAGCCUGAAUCAGUGUGUGUGUUAGUGGAAGCGUCUGGAAAGGCGCGCGAUACAGGGUGACAGCCCCGUACACAAAAAUGCACAUGCUGUGAGCUCGAUGAGUAGGGCGGGACACGUGGUAUCCUGUCUGAAUAUGGGGGGACCAUCCUCCAAGGCUAAAUACUCCUGACUGACCGAUAGUGAACCAGUACCGUGAGGGAAAGGCGAAAAGAACCUCGGCGAGGGGAGUGAAAAAGAACCUGAAACCGUGUACGUACAAGCAGUGGGAGCACAGAGCAAUCUGUGUGACUGCGUACCUUUUGUAUAAUGGGUCAGCGACUUAUAUUCUGUAGCAAGGUUAACCGAAUAGGGAGCCGAAGGGAAACCGAGUCUUAACUGGGCGUUAAGUUGCAGGGUAUAGACCCGAAACCCGGUGAUCUAGCCAUGGGCAGGUUGAAGGUUGGGUAACACUAACUGGAGGACCGAACCGACUAAUGUUGAAAAAUUAGCGGAUGACUUGUGGCUGGGGGUGAAAGGCCAAUCAAACCGGGAGAUAGCUGGUUCUCCCCGAAAGCUAUUUAGGUAGCGCCUCGUGAAUUCAUCUCCGGGGUAGAGCACUGUUUCGGCAAGGGGGUCAUCCCGACUUACCAACCCGAUGCAAACUGCGAAUACCGGAGAAUGUUAUCACGGGAGACACACGGCGGGUGCUAACGUCCGUCGUGAAGAGGGAAACAACCCAGACCGCCAGCUAAGGUCCCAAAGUCAUGGUUAAGUGGGAAACGAUGUGGGAAGGCCCAGACAGCCAGGAUGUUGGCUUAGAAGCAGCCAUCAUUUAAAGAAAGCGUAAUAGCUCACUGGUCGAGUCGGCCUGCGCGGAAGAUGUAACGGGGCUAAACCAUGCACCGAAGCUGCGGCAGCGACGCUUAUGCGUUGUUGGGUAGGGGAGCGUUCUGUAAGCCUGUGAAGGUGUGCUGUGAGGCAUGCUGGAGGUAUCAGAAGUGCGAAUGCUGACAUAAGUAACGAUAAAGCGGGUGAAAAGCCCGCUCGCCGGAAGACCAAGGGUUCCUGUCCAACGUUAAUCGGGGCAGGGUGAGUCGACCCCUAAGGCGAGGCCGAAAGGCGUAGUCGAUGGGAAACAGGUUAAUAUUCCUGUACUUGGUGUUACUGCGAAGGGGGACGGAGAAGGCUAUGUUGGCGGGCGACGGUUGUCCCGGUUUAAGCGUGUAGGCUGGUUUUCCGGGCAAAUCCGGAAAAUCAAGGCUGAGGCGUGAUGACGAGGCACUACGGUGCUGAAGCAACAAAUGCCCUGCUUCCAGGAAAAGCCUCUAAGCAUCAGGUAACAUCAAAUCGUACCCCAAACCGACACAGGUGGUCAGGUAGAGAAUACCAAGGCGCUUGAGAGAACUCGGGUGAAGGAACUAGGCAAAAUGGUGCCGUAACUUCGGGAGAAGGCACGCUGAUAUGUAGGUGAGGUCCCUCGCGGAUGGAGCUGAAAUCAGUCGAAGAUACCAGCUGGCUGCAACUGUUUAUUAAAAACACAGCACUGUGCAAACACGAAAGUGGACGUAUACGGUGUGACGCCUGCCCGGUGCCGGAAGGUUAAUUGAUGGGGUCAGCGCAAGCGAAGCUCUUGAUCGAAGCCCCGUAAACGGCGGCCGUAACUAUAACGGUCCUAAGGUAGCGAAAUUCCUUGUCGGGUAAGUUCCGACCUGCACGAAUGGCGUAAUGAUGGCCAGGCUGUCUCCACCCGAGACUCAGUGAAAUUGAACUCGCUGUGAAGAUGCAGUGUACCCGCGGCAAGACGGAAAGACCCCGUGAACCUUUACUAUAGCUUGACACUGAACAUUGAGCCUUGAUGUGUAGGAUAGGUGGGAGGCUUUGAAGUGUGGACGCCAGUCUGCAUGGAGCCGGCCUUGAAAUACCACCCUUUAAUGUUUGAUGUUCUAACGUUGGCCCCUGAUCGGGGUUGCGGACAGUGUCUGGUGGGUAGUUUGACUGGGGCGGUCUCCUCCUAAAGAGUAACGGAGGAGCACGAAGGUUGGCUAAUCCUGGUCGGACAUCAGGAGGUUAGUGCAAUGGCAUAAGCCAGCUUGACUGCGAGCGUGACGGCGCGAGCAGGUGCGAAAGCAGGUCAUAGUGAUCCGGUGGUUCUGAAUGGAAGGGCCAUCGCUCAACGGAUAAAAGGUACUCCGGGGAUAACAGGCUGAUACCGCCCAAGAGUUCAUAUCGACGGCGGUGUUUGGCACCUCGAUGUCGGCUCAUCACAUCCUGGGGCUGAAGUAGGUCCCAAGGGUAUGGCUGUUCGCCAUUUAAAGUGGUACGCGAGCUGGGUUUAGAACGUCGUGAGACAGUUCGGUCCCUAUCUGCCGUGGGCGCUGGAGAACUGAGGGGGGCUGCUCCUAGUACGAGAGGACCGGAGUGGACGCAUCACUGGUGUUCGGGUUGUCAUGCCAAUGGCACUGCCCGGUAGCUAAAUGCGGAAGAGAUAAGUGCUGAAAGCAUCUAAGCACGAAACUUGCCCCGAGAUGAGUUCUCCCUGACUCCUUGAGAGUCCUGAAGGAACGUUGAAGACGACGACGUUGAUAGGCCGGGUGUGUAAGCGCAGCGAUGCGUUGAGCUAACCGGUACUAAUGAACCGUGAGGCUUAACCUU
rnacentral:rRNA from 1 species